rnacentral:rRNA from 1 species
AAACUUAAAGGAAUUGACGGGGACCCGCACAAGCAGCGGAGCAUGUGGUUUAAUUCGAAGCAACGCGAAGAACCUUACCAGGACUUGACAUCCUCCUGACAGUCCCUUAACCGGGAUCUUCUUCGGACAGGAGAGACAGGUGGUGCAUGGUUGUCGUCAGCUCGUGUCGUGAGAUGUUGGGUUAAGUCCCGCAACGAGCGCAACCCUUGUCAUUAGUUGCCAUCAUUCAGUUGGGCACUCUAGUGAGACUGCCGUGGAUAACACGGAGGAAGGUGGGGAUGACGUCAAAUCAUCAUGCCCCUUAUGUUCUGGGCUACACACGUGCUACAAUGGCUGGUACAAAGAGCAGCAAGACCGCGAGGUGGAGCAAAUCUCAAAACCAGUCCCAGUUCGGAUUGUAGGCUGCAACUCGCCUACAUGAAGUUGGAGUUGCUAGUAAUCGCAGAUCAGAAUGCUGCGGUGAAUGCGUUCCCGGGUCUUGUACACACCGCCCGUCACACCAUGGAAGUUGGGGGCGCCCGAAGUUGGCCAGUUAAAUAGGCUACCUAAGGCGAAAUCAAUGACUA